GCCUUCGGAGGGUAACGGUAGCAUACUCGCCUGGUAUUUGAGAGGCCCAGGUUCGAGUUCCGGCGAGGGCA
rnacentral:tRNA from 1 species